GUUUUUAUAGUUUAAUUUAAAAUUUUAUAUUUUCAUUAUAAAGAUAAUAUUUUUAUUUAAAAAUU
rnacentral:tRNA from 1 species